rnacentral:rRNA from 1 species
CAGUAGCCGCGGGAACACGAAGGGGGCUAGCGUUGUUCGGAUUUACUGGGCGUAAAGCGCACGUAGGCGGAUCGAUCAGUCAGGGGUGAAAUCCCAGAGCUCAACUCUGGAACUGCCUUUGAUACUGUCGAUCUGGAGUAUGGAAGAGGUGAGUGGAAUUCCGAGUGUAGAGGUGAAAUUCGUAGAUAUUCGGAGGAACACCAGUGGCGAAGGCGUCUCACUGGUCCAUUACUGACGCUGAGGUGCGAAAGCGUGGGGAGCAAACAGGAUUAGAUACCCGUGUAGUCCCUGUCUCUUAUAC